rnacentral:rRNA from 1 species
GACGAACGCUGGCGGCGUGCUUAACACAUGCAAGUCGAACGAUGAACCCGGAGCUUGCUCUGGGGGAUUAGUGGCGAACGGGUGAGUAACACGUGAGUAACCUGCCCUGGACUCUGGGAUAAGCGUUGGAGACGACGUCUAAUACCGGAUAGGACCUUGGAUCGCAUGAUCUGGGGUGGAAAGUUUUUUCGGUCUGGGAUGGACUCGCGGCCUAUCAGCUUGUUGGUGAGGUAAUGGCUCACCAAGGCGUCGACGGGUAGCCGGCCUGAGAGGGUGACCGGCCACACUGGGACUGAGACACGGCCCAGACUCCUACGGGAGGCAGCAGUGGGGAAUAUUGCACAAUGGGCGAAAGCCUGAUGCAGCAACGCCGCGUGCGGGAUGACGGCCUUCGGGUUGUAAACCGCUUUUAGUAGGGAAGAAGGGCUUCGGCUUGACGGUACCUGCAGAAAAAGGACCGGCUAACUACGUG